rnacentral:rRNA from 1 species
UACGGAGGGUGCAAGCGUUAUCCGGAUUCACUGGGUUUAAAGGGUGCGUAGGCGGAUAUGUAAGUCCGUGGUGAAAUCUCUGGGCUUAACCCGGAAACUGCCAUGGAUACUAUGUGUCUUGAAUGUUGUUGAGGUGAGCGGAAUAUGUCAUGUAGCGGUGAAAUGCUUAGAUAUGACAUAGAACACCAAUUGCGAAGGCAGCUCACUAAGCAAAUAUUGACGCUGAGGCACGAAAGCGUGGGGAUCAAGCAGG